UGCUCUGUCUUUGCAAGUUGUUUCUUUCCC
rnacentral:piRNA from 1 species